rnacentral:rRNA from 1 species
UGGGGAAUUUUUCGCAAUGGGGGAAACCCUGACGAAGCAAUGCCGCGUGGAUGAUGAAGUAUCUCGGUACGUAAAAUCCUUUCGACGGGGACGAAGCCGCAAGGUUGACGGUACCCGUAGAAGAAGCCCCGGCUAACUCCGUGCCAGCAGCCGCGGUAAUACGGGGGGGGCAAGCGUUGUUCGGAAUUACUGGGCGUAAAGGGUGCGUAGGCGGCUUUCUAAGUCGGAUGUGAAAACUCUGGGCUCAACCCAGAGCCUGCAUCUGAAACUGGAGAGCUAGGGUUUUGGAGGGGAAAGCGGAAUUCCAGGUGUAGCGGUGAAAUGCGUAGAUAUCUGGAGGAACACCGGUGGCGAAGGCGGCUUUCUGGACAAAUACCGACGCUGAGGCACGAAAGCUAGGGGAGCAAACAGGAUUAGAUACCCUGGUAGUCCUAGCCCUAAACUAUGGAUACUUGCUGUGGGGGGGAUUGAAGCCCCUUGUGGCGAAGCUAACGCAUUAAGUAUCCCGCCUGGGGAGUACGGUCGCAAGGCUGA